ACGCUGACAGAAUGCUUAACACAUGCAAGUCAACUUGAAUUWGGGUUUUUAACUUAGAUUUGGGUGGCGGACGGGUGAGUAACGCGUAAAGAACUUGCCUCACAGCUAGGGACAACAUUUAGAAAUGAAUGCUAAUACCUGAUAUUAUGAUUUUAAGGCAUCUUAGAAUUAUGAAAGCUAUAAGCACUGUGAGAGAGCUUUGCGUCCCAUUAGCUAGUUGGAGAGGUAACAGCUCACCAAGGCGAUGAUGGGUAGCCGGCCUGAGAGGGUGAACGGCCACAAGGGGACUGAGACACGGCCCUUACUCCUACGGGAGGCAGCAGUGGGGAAUAUUGGACAAUGGACCGAGAGUCUGAUCCAGCAAUUCUGUGUGCACGAUGAAGUUUUUCGGAAUGUAAAGUGCUUUCAGUUGGGAAGAAAAAAAUGACGGUACCAACAGAAGAAGUGACGGCUAAAUACGUGCCAGCAGCCGCGGUAAUACGUAUGUCACGAGCGUUAUCCGGAUUUAUUGGGCGUAAAGCGCGUCUAGGUGGUUAUGUAAGUCUGAUGUGAAAAUGCAGGGCUCAACUCUGUAUUGCGUUGGAAACUGUAUAACUAGAGUACUGGAGAGGUAAGCGGAACUACAAGUGUAGAGGUGAAAUUCGUAGAUAUUUGUAGGAAUGCCGAUGGGGAAGCCAGCUUACUGGACAGAUACUGACGCUAAAGCGCGAAGCGU
rnacentral:rRNA from 1 species